rnacentral:rRNA from 1 species
CCUACGGGAGGCAGCAGUGGGGAAUAUUGGGCAAUGGAGGAAACUCUGACCCAGCAACGCCGCGUGAAUGAUGAAGGUCUUCGGAUUGUAAAGUUCUUUUCUAAGGGAAGAAGAAAGUGACGGUACCUUAGUAAUAAGCCUCGGCUAACUACGUGCCAGCAGCCGCGGUAAUACGUAGGAGGCGAGCGUUAUCCGGAAUGACUGGGCGUAAAGGGUGCGUAGGUGGUUUGGCAAGUUAGUAGCGUAACUCCAAGGCUUAACCUUGGAACUACUACUAAAACUGUUGGACUUGAGUGCAGGAGGGGCAAGCGGAAUUCCUAGUGUAGCGGUGGAAUGCGUAGAUAUUAGGAAGAACAACAGAGGCGAAGGCAGGUUGCUAGACUGUAACUGACACUGAGGCACGAAAGCGUGGGGAGCAAACAGGAUUAGAUACCCGAGUAGUC